AUUUGGACUUGGAUUGAACCUGUGACAAAUCCUUUGCUUAUGCUUCUUCCAUCCCUGCUUCCAUGUUAUAUCCUUUCCCCUUCUAAAAUGGUAAAAUGACCGCAUUCUGUAUCUUCUGGGAUACCCCCUCAUGAUACGAAAAGACUAUGACCAAUUCCAAAGCAUACCUUGGGAAUUCACAAAAUUUGUAUGAAAAGAAAAUUUGUGGACAUUUCAGACCAUCCUACAAUUGCUAUAAAUAUAUGCCAUACAAUAGAAGAAUGCCAGUGCUUAAGAGCAAAAACUUCAAAAGCAAGAACACAAGGGGCCGGUGAAAUUUCAUUGAAAAGCACUGAGGAGGACAGAGCAAACCAGACAUACAUAGGAGGCACAGCAAAAGACCCAAGGCGAGGGGGCUUCCCUCACCUUCACCCUUGUUCUCACGUGGAGGUGGCGCAUGUCUAUGAGACACAGUACCCCACUCAGCGAUCCUCUGCGGUCCAGCAAAUUCUAGCACUUGUUUGGAAAACAAAUCAAGUGUGUGGCCCAGGGAAGACAAAAGAUUGGAUCCCCAUGAUCUAGUCAGUCCUCACUGAAGAUUUUUUUUUUCUGCGACAGAAAUAUUCAUGCUUUCAACACGGAAUGGGCCUGACUGUGUUGGUUCCCAGCAUACAAGGAACGAUGUGGACAGAACUGCCUGACACAUACGUCAGUCCACAGAGUUCUUAGAACUGGUUCAAGUCAGCUGUUGAACUAUGCCUGGUCAUCUAUUUACCGUUGUGCCCUCACUUGACAAGACAGGUACAAAUGCAAUAAUUUAAA